AUAAUGGGUCAGCGACUUAUAUUCUGUAGCAAGGUUAACCGAAUAGGGGAGCCGAAGGGAAACCGAGUCUUAACUGGGCGUUAAGUUGCAGGGUAUAGACCCGAAACCCGGUGAUCUAGCCAUGGGCAGGUUGAAGGUUGGGUAACACUAACUGGAGGACCGAACCGACUAAUGUUGAAAAAUUAGCGGAUGACUUGUGGCUGGGGGUGAAAGGCCAAUCAAACCGGGAGAUAGCUGGUUCUCCCCGAAAGCUAUUUAGGUAGCGCCUCGUGAAUUCAUCUCCGGGGGUAGAGCACUGUUUCGGCAAGGGGGUCAUCCCGACUUACCAACCCGAUGCAAACUGCGAAUACCGGAGAAUGUUAUCACGGGAGACACACGGCGGGUGCUAACGUCCGUCGUGAAGAGGGAAACAACCCAGACCGCCAGCUAAGGUCCCAAAGUCAUGGUUAAGUGGGAAACGAUGUGGGAAGGCCCAGACAGCCAGGAUGUUGGCUUAGAAGCAGCCAUCAUUUAAAGAAAGCGUAAUAGCUCACUGGUCGAGUCGGCCUGCGCGGAAGAUGUAACGGGGCUAAACCAUGCACCGAAGCUGCGGCAGCGACGCUUAUGCGUUGUUGGGUAGGGGAGCGUUCUGUAAGCCUGCGAAGGUGUGCUGUGAGGCAUGCUGGAGGUAUCAGAAGUGCGAAUGCUGACAUAAGUAACGAUAAAGCGGGUGAAAAGCCCGCUCGCCGGAAGACCAAGGGUUCCUGUCCAACGUUAAUCGGGGCAGGGUGAGUCGACCCCUAAGGCGAGGCCGAAAGGCGUAGUCGAUGGGAAACAGGUUAAUAUUCCUGUACUUGGUGUUACUGCGAAGGGGGGACGGAGAAGGCUAUGUUGGCCGGGCGACGGUUGUCCCGGUUUAAGCGUGUAGGCUGGUUUUCCAGGCAAAUCCGGAAAAUCAAGGCUGAGGCGUGAUGACGAGGCACUACGGUGCUGAAGCAACAAAUGCCCUGCUUCCAGGAAAAGCCUCUAAGCAUCAGGUAACAUCAAAUCGUACCCCAAACCGACACAGGUGGUCAGGUAGAGAAUACCAAGGCGCUUGAGAGAACUCGGGUGAAGGAACUAGGCAAAAUGGUGCCGUAACUUCGGGAGAAGGCACGCUGAUACGUAGGUGAAGUCCCUCGCGGAUGGAGCUGAAAUCAGUCGAAGAUACCAGCUGGCUGCAACUGUUUAUUAAAAACACAGCACUGUGCAAACACGAAAGUGGACGUAUACGGUGUGACGCCUGCCCGGUGC
rnacentral:rRNA from 1 species